GAGGGUAUAGUUCAGUGGUAGAGUACAUGCUUGGCAUGCAUGAGGUCCUGGGUUCAAUCCCCAAUACCUCA
rnacentral:tRNA from 1 species